GCCUAGUUAGCUUAGUUGAUAGUGCGUCUGCCUUGUAAGCGCUAGGCCGUGGGUUCGAUUCCCACCCGGGGCG
rnacentral:tRNA from 1 species